rnacentral:rRNA from 1 species
UACGGAGGGGGCUAGCGUUGUUCGGAAUUACUGGGCGUAAAGGGCGCGUAGGCGGCCCGCUAAGUCGAACGUGAAAUCCCCGAGCUCAACUCGGGAACUGCGUCCGAUACUGGUGGGCUUGAAUCCGGGAGAGGGAUGCGGAAUUCCAGGUGUAGCGGUGAAAUGCGUAGAUAUCUGGAGGAACACCGGUGGCGAAGGCGGCAUCCUGGACCGGCAUUGACGCUGAGGCGCGAAAGCUAGGGGAGCAAACGGG